rnacentral:rRNA from 1 species
ACCAUGCAAGUCGAACGCUGAAGCCCAGCUUGCUGGGUGGAUGAGUGGCGAACGGGUGAGUAACACGUGAGUAACCUGCCCUUGACUCUGGGAUAAGCGCUGGAAACGGCGUCUAAUACUGGAUAUGACCUGUCACCGCAUGGUGGUGGGUGGAAAGAUUUUUUGGUUUUGGAUGGACUCGCGGCCUAUCAGCUUGUUGGUGAGGUAAUGGCUCACCAAGGCGACGACGGGUAGCCGGCCUGAGAGGGUGACCGGCCACACUGGGACUGAGACACGGCCCAGACUCCUACGGGAGGCAGCAGUGGGGAAUAUUGCACAAUGGGCGAAAGCCUGAUGCAGCAACGCCGCGUGGGGGAUGACGGCCUUCGGGUUGUAAACCUCUUUUAGCAGGGAAGAAGCGAAAGCGACGGUACCUGCAGAAAAAGCACCGGCUAACUACGUGCCAGCAGCCGCGGUAAUACGUAGGGUGCAAGCGUUGUCCGGAAUUAUUGGGCGUAAAGAGCUCGUAGGCGGUUUGUCGCGUCUGCUGUGAAAACCCGAGGCUCAACCUCGGGCUUGCAGUGGGUACGGGCAGGCUAGAGUGCGGUAGGGGAGAUUGGAAUUCCUGGUGUAGCGGUGGAAUGCGCAGAUAUCAGGAGGAACACCGAUGGCGAAGGCAGAUCUCUGGGCCGCUACUGACGCUGAGGAGCGAAAGCAUGGGGAGCGAACAGGAUUAGAUACCCUGGUAGUC